rnacentral:rRNA from 1 species
UACGUAGGGGGUGAGCGUUGUCCGGAUUUAUUGGGCGUAAAGCGCGUGUAGGCGGUUUUCUAAGUCUGAUGUGAAAUCCCAGGGCUUAACCCUGGAACUGCAUUGGAUACUGGAUAACUAGAGGGCGAGAGAGGAUGGUGGAAUUCCUGGUGUAGGGGUGAAAUCCGUAGAUAUCAGGAGGAACAUCAGUGGCGAAGGCGGCCAUCUGGCUCGCACCUGACGCUGAGACGCGAAAGCGUGGGGAGCAAACAGG